rnacentral:rRNA from 1 species
AAUAGAUACCCCGGUAGUCCACGCCGUAAACGAUGGAUACUAGCUGUUUGAGCGCAAGUUUGAGUGGCUAAGCGAAAGUGAUAAGUAUCCCACCUGGGGAGUACGGGCGCAAGCCUGAAACUCAAAGGAAUUGACGGGGGCCCGCACAAGCGGUGGAGCAUGUGGUUCAAUUCGAUGAUACGCGAGGAACCUUACCAGGGCUUAAAUGUAGAUUGACGUAUUUGGAAACAGAUAUUUCUUCGGACAAUUUACAAGGUGCUGCAUGGUUGUCGUCAGCUCGUGCCGUGAGGUGUCAGGUUAAGUCCUAUAACGAGCGCAACCCCUGUUGUUAGUUGCCAGCGAGUAAUGUCGGGAACUCUAGCAAGACUGCCAGUGUAAACUGUGAGGAAGGUGGGGAUGACGUCAAAUCAUCACGGCCCUUACGUCCUGGGGCCACACACGUGCUACAAUGGCCGGUACAGAGAGCAGCCACUUAGCGAUAAGGAGCGAAUCUAUAAAAGCCGGUCACAGUUCGGAUCGGAGUCUG